rnacentral:rRNA from 1 species
AAUGAACGCUGGCGGCAUGCCUAACACAUGCAAGUCGAACGAAGGCUUCGGCCUUAGUGGCGCACGGGUGCGUAACGCGUGGGAAUCUGCCCUUGGGUUCGGAAUAACAGUUAGAAAUGACUGCUAAUACCGGAUGAUGUCGUAAGACCAAAGAUUUAUCGCCCAAGGAUGAGCCCGCGUAGGAUUAGCUAGUUGGUGGGGUAAAGGCCUACCAAGGCGACGAUCCUUAGCUGGUCUGAGAGGAUGAUCAGCCACACUGGGACUGAGACACGGCCCAGACUCCUACGGGAGGCAGCAGUGGGGAAUAUUGGACAAUGGGCGAAAGCCUGAUCCAGCAAUGCCGCGUGAGUGAUGAAGGCCUUAGGGUUGUAAAGCUCUUUUACCCGGGAUGAUAAUGACGGUACCGGGAGAAUAAGCUCCGGCUAACUUCGUG